rnacentral:rRNA from 1 species
AGAGCGAACGCUGGCGGCAGGCUUAACACAUGCAAGUCGAGCGGGCGUAGCAAUACGUCAGCGGCAGACGGGUGAGUAACGCGUGGGAACAUACCUUUUGGUUCGGAACAACACAGGGAAACUUGUGCUAAUACCGGAUAAGCCCUUACGGGGAAAGAUUUAUCGCCGAAAGAUUGGCCCGCGUCUGAUUAGCUAGUUGGUGAGGUAACGGCUCACCAAGGCGACGAUCAGUAGCUGGUCUGAGAGGAUGAUCAGCCACAUUGGGACUGAGACACGGCCCAAACUCCUACGGGAGGCAGCAGUGGGAAUAUUGGACAAUGGGCGCAAGCCUGAUCCAGCCAUGCCGCGUGAGUGAUGAAGGCCCUAGGGUUGUAAAGCUCUUUUGUGCGGGAAGAUAAUGACGGUACCGCAAGAAUAAGCCCCGGCUAACUUCGCGCCAGCAGUCGC